GAUGAAGAACGUAGCAAAAUGCGAUAAGUAAUGUGAAUUGCAGAAUUCAGUGAAUCAUUGAAUCUUUGAACGCACAUUGCGCCCGCCAGUAUUCUGGCGGGCAUGCCUGUUCGAGCGUCAUUUCAACCCUCAAGCCCUCGGGUUUGGUGUUGGGGAUCGGCGAGCCUUUCUGGCAAGCCGGCCCCGAAAUCUAGUGGCGGUCUCGCUGCAGCCUCCAUUGCGUAGUAGUAAAACCCUCGCAACUGGACCGCGGCGCGGCCAAGCCGUUAAACCCCCAACUUCUGAAUGUUGACCUCGGAUCAGGUAGGAAUACCCGCUGAACUUAAGCAUAUCAAUAAGCGGAGGA
rnacentral:misc_RNA from 1 species